rnacentral:rRNA from 1 species
AAGGGACUUCGGUCCCGAGUACAGCGGCGGACGGGUGAGUAACACGUAGGGUAACCUGCCCUUCAGUGGGGACAACGGUCCGAAAGGACCGCUAAUACCGCAUCCGUUCUCUGGAGCCCUGGCUCUGGAGAGGAAAGCUGGGUAACUGGCGCUGAAGGAGGGGCCUGCGUCGCAUCAGCUAGUUGGUGGGGUAAUGGCCUACCAAGGCGAAGACGCGUAGCUGGUCUGAGAGGAUGAUCAGCCACACUGGGACUGAGACACGGCCCAGACUCCUACGGGAGGCAGCAGUGGGGGAAUAUUGGACAAUGGGGGCAACCCUGAUCCAGCCACGCCGCGUGAGUGAUGAAGGCCUUCGGGUCGUAAAGCUCUGUGGGGAGGGACGAACGUCCCGCAUAACCUGCGGGGGUGACGGUACCUCCUUAGCAAGCACCGGCUAACUUCGUGCCAGCAGCCGCGGUAA